rnacentral:lncRNA from 1 species
AUGGUAGUUGAGUGCAGAUUGUCUCUUAAGCUCAACCCGACUCUUAAAGGACAUUUGGAGAGUGCUGGUGUCGUCAGAAGAUACUUUCAAUCAGCACAGACCUUCAAAACCUCCAGAUGUGUCUCGACCUUUGUAUUUUUACGUAUAAGAACACCAAAAGUGUUUUUGCCAGUGGCACUGCUACUUGUGUCUCUUCCAUCCUCUCAUGAUCUGUCGGCAGCACAUUCAUUUCCUGUCUUUUCUGUCUUUGUGUUUGAGGGCAGAGAAGAAAGCCUUGUAGAGAGUGGGAGCGAAGCUUUGAAGAGGAGCUGUCCUGGGACACGACUGUCUUCUGGGGAAAGCGGAGGAGGGGGUUCAGAUGGAGAGAGAGGGCAAGCGACUGAAGAAGGGGAAGGCUCCUCAUUUCUGAGCAAGCGGCUGGCAGGUUUCCAGAAGAACACAGUUAGUAUUCAUGAGAAAACACCUGAGGCACCUGAGAGCCGAGCUGACUUGGCAUAAGGGAUCCAACUGCUGCAGUCUCCUAAAUGAUCUAAAUGAUUGGACCUGUUCCACCACAUAAAUAUUCAAAUUAGUGUCAAUGCUAGUUUGUGUACACACACAGAAUGUCUCAUAGGGGCAUUCAUGCUUCACUGAGACGAAGAAAUUGAGGGAAUGCAUUUUGCCAGGACUUUUCACAAUAGACUUUUCUCAUCCAAACUAACUACAUGUAAAUCAAAGUUUGGGGAUGGAGGAUUGAGUGACGGUCUUUUAAUUUUGGAUGGGAAGCUAGCAAGGAAGAAAGACAAAGGACAAUGAACAAUGGAAACCAGAGUGACGUACGGUAAUAACUGAAUAUCAUCCCCUGCUUAUUUCAAUCCAAUAUGACCUUCGCUGAAACAAUGAUCUAAUUCUUGAGCAGGCUAUUGUCUGUGAAAGAUUCAAUUAGAUCAAACUUGGUGGACCUCCUGUAGUGAAUAGAGGAGUUUGUAAGGGAAUAUGGUCAUAGGUGCUGAGGUGCACUUAUCUUUUUUUUAUCCACAAAGAGCACAAGUGACGCUAAGAACAGAAAUCAUACUCUACACAAUUCAUGCAUAUGCAGAAAUGAAUGCUUGUCCAAUGCAUUGCACAUACUUACAUUGUACAUACAGUAUCUCAGCAUUUAGGAGCUGAAUGUCUAUGCCAUUGUUUUUGACUAUUUAACUAACUACCAAGAUUUUCUUCAAACUGGUGCUCAACCACGAUAUAUUAUCACAUUAUCAGUUGCUUUCUAAUUUUCAGAAUGAAACCGAGCUCAAAUAACAUUAAGGAUUUGCAUUCACUUACUUGCAUACAGUAUAUUUUAGGCUUGCAACUAUAUUAUUAUGAAGCAAUGUUAAAUAUGAACCAGACACAAGCCUUAUCCUCAGAAGCUCAUCCAUUGCCUGACAGCAAUGCAAAUUCUAGAGGUCAAGGCGCACAGGCAUUUCAUCAGUUCACCAGGGGAAAAAACUCCUACACCAAUAUUUGAAUUCAUUUUUUUUCUCCAUGAAGAGCUAUUAUUGUGGUAUAAUCUAUUUGAAAUAAACCCACCCUAAAUGGUACAGAAAUAUAAGUGUGUUUGGUUCUGUGAGUGCAAAUAAGUCUUAAGUUGCUAUUCUUGGCCAUAAUAGACUGAGAUGAUGGCCAGACUUUGUGCUGCAAGUCAAAAGUCUGGCUAAAUGAGACUAGACACAAGCUUAAAGCAGCCUCAUGGCCACCUGGGAUUAAAACUUGCAGGCAGGGCAACCAAGAUUUCUGCUUACAUAGCCUGGAGUCAAAAAUCACUGGGCCAUCUCUGUACAGCAGAAAAUCAGAUAACAAUAGAGGUGCACACCUAGCAAUAUCAAACCAACACCGUGUUCAAUGUGCGAAAAGCACACCAAGUUCCUGAUAUAUAUGUUUGCACAAUUAAUGUGCUCCAUGACCGUGUUUAAUACUUGGAAAAGCCUGAGGAAAUGCACAAACACAAGGGUAGACAUUGUUGCGUAAAAUAAGCUUUCAACCGCUCCACCUUGAACAGUGAUGACGGAGGUUAACGCAUUGUCAACGGUGGUCUGUGCAUGGGUGUGCUGCCCUUUCCUGAGGAGAAGGGAAGAGAGCAGCCAACCCUGCUAUAAAUAAACAGGCCAGGCCUGGCCACUAAUCUAAUAAAACUGUCCUUAUUGUAUCUGCCAAGAGCCGGCAGUCCAAAAGGGCAGGCGUGGUGCAUGUGGAGGGCGCAGAUAUUGGCAAACGAUCGCUGAGUCAUGACCUGGUGGAAGGACGUAUGGAGUUGGAUGCCGAUUCCAAUCCAUCCUCUUUCUACAGGCACUCAGCAAUAAUCAAGCUAAUCAAUGUAGAGCCGAGAAAGGCAUCCAUCUUCAUUCAAUCCAUCUUCAUUCAAUUAAUCGAUAGCUGCAGGCUUAAAGUAUAGUGUAAUUACUGCACCACCAAACAUAAUUGCAAAAAUAAUGACUCUUUCCCAAACACUCACCCCCCUGCCAUUAGUCCAGCCAACAGUAGUCCUGCCCCAAGCAUUGUUUAAGCUUCUCGACCAGCUCAACUGACGUACUUACAUCCAAUGUGCAUCCAAGUGCUCACUAAUUAGAGAGAGGUUGCAUCAAGUAAGUCGAAGGCUGGAUAAAUUCAAGCUAGAGAGUCUUCCAGGACCAGGGGCCAGAUUCAUUAAAAAUCUUUGAAAGAUAGAGGCUAAGAGGUUUCUGAAGAUAAAUGUAAAAUUUGUAAGUAUGUUCCUUACUGCAAUUAUUGAAUAUAUUCUCAUUGCCAAAUAUUUUCUUAACUCUUUGCCUGCCACUGACAGAAUUUUCUGGGUUUCCUUGUUUUUACUGUUAUACAGUAGGAGGUGCUAUUGCAUAUCUUCUGAAAGAGUACUGAAUCUCUAGACAUGGUGAAGAAGAAGCAACAAGCAAUCACAUAUGUUAGCAGAUGCAUAUGUAAAAUAAUGCAAUCAUCAAACAUUAAACAGCAUAUAAUUUAACACUACCUAACAUUAUCAAAUGAAAUUUCAACCCAGGGAGUGGUACAGGACUGGGCAAGCUUUGGGAGUGUUGACAGAAGCGAUUGACUUCAUCUAUGCAGUCUGAAUCCUAUCCGGACAGUCAGCUUGACCAAAAUGUGAUUUUCUCAGCUUUUUGAUCAAAAUUAUGCUUUUUGUUUUUUAUGAAACUCCACCAUUCAAAUGUAACAUAUGUUAUAUACUGUAUGUUAUCCACCUUAUUUUUCAACACGGAAAUAAGCGGUUUUCUGUGAAUGUGUAAGACUUUCAGUUCAUUAGCUGCUGUAGGGAAAUAAUGAGAAGAAUAACAACAUGCAGUAAACUGUUUGCACUACAAACCAGUGUGCUCAUAAUUAAGAUAAUACAUUUAAGAUGGUAAGACUCACCCAUUUGCAAUAUCAAGCAACAAAACAAGCUGUUUUGUAUGUAUAAAAAUAGCCAAAACCAAACACAUUAACGCUGUCAUGUACAUUACUAUGCUAAACUCUCCGGGAUUGUCAUGACAGAACUAUGGUACAUAUAAAGAAUAUAAAAUGACAGAACUAUGGUACAUAUAAAGAAUAUAAAGAGUGUGAUGGAACUAAACUCUGCAGGACGUUGGCCCUCCAGGAGCAGGUUUGGACACCACUGAUCUACCUGGAAGUCUUCAGGUCUACACCACUGAAUCUAAGAACUAUAUUGCACAAGGAGAUCCAAACAGUGUCCAGUUCAGUUCAUAUUUCAGCCUUUAAUUUAUAGUUUGAACAUGGUCGACUCUACUAAUAUGAAAAGACUCCUACCUCUUCAUAGUGUGCCGUUACCUUCAAAACAGCAGCAUGAAGUGAGGGAGGGGAAGAACUCCUCACUUACAUGCUCGAAUGCUUCCUGAAUUGACGCUAACUGAGCUACAGGCACGUUGUCAUCUAUACUGUGCAUCAGUUAUGUUUCGCACUGCAAUUGGCCUCUUUUCAUGCUAUUUUUUUUUGGAAAAUGGUUCCAAACAAAGUCACAGUUGUGCAUAUCUGAGCAAACACAGCGGUGUUUUGUUGAUGAAUGAAUCUGCAUUUUUGAACAAAGUCAAUGAUUCAAUGACACAUUUAAUAAGUCUUGCUUUGCUCCUCAAUGACUAAGCCAUUUUGAAUUAAUCAUUAACUUGCCACCACCAUUGAUAUUGAUUUAAUUUGACUAGUAGCAGCCCAGUUGUGUCUCAUUACUCUUACUGAAUUUGUU